UGCGAUCCAUCCCUUGCGAGAUCUGUAAGCAUCGAUGGCCUCUAAUUGUAGCCUCGCCUGCGGAGCACUUAGAGUAUACUUUCUUGCCUGCCAAAUUAACAUACAUAUAAUCAUUUGAACCAAUAGCACAGCCGAGUUUUUCUUACAGUUAGAAACAAUAGCGAGACUAUACCUUUGGAACAAGAGCCAACUUUGGUGGAGCUUGCACCACAUCACCGAAUCUAAUCUGUUCAUCUCUGGGGAAGUUUUCACGGAGGGUAUCUCCAGUCUUUCCUUGAUUCUUCUUUUGCUUCUUGGCCUCCCAAUACCUGCAUUGAAGU